rnacentral:rRNA from 1 species
CCUACGGGGGGCAGCAGUAGGGAAUUUUCGUCAAUGGGCGCAAGCCUGAACGAGCAAUGCCGCGUGAACGAGGAAGGUCUUCGGAUCGUAAAGUUCUGUUGAAGGGGAAAAAGAGCGGAGAGAGGAAAUGGUCUCCGAUUGAUAUUACCCUUCGAGGCAGUCACGGCUAAAUACGUGCCAGCAGCCGCGGUAAUACGUAGGUGGCGAGCGUUAUCCGGAAUGAUUUGGAGUAAAGGGUGCGUUGGAGGCCUGCUAGGUCUGGAGUGAAAGGUACCGGCUCAACCGGUACAGGCUCUGGAAACUGGCGGGAUAGAGAGCAGGGGAGGGCGGUGGAACUCCAUGUGUAGCGGUAAAAUGCGUAGAUAUAUGGAAGAACACCAGUGGCGAAGGCGGCCGCCUGGCCUGUUACUGACGCUGAGGCACGAAAGCGUGGGGAGCAAAUAGGAUUAGAUACCCCUGUAGUC